GAUUACCGCUUAAAAACACUUGUCUCUAGUUUUUAAUUUUAUUUUUAAAGUUGAUUGUAAACAGUUCAGCUUAUUAGCCAACUGAAGGACGUUUUAUUAAAUUUUUUUUUUUUUCUUUUUUCUGGUUAUACUAUUAGAUACUAAAAUAGAAUUUCUCUAAUCGCGCUUUUUAAGUGAGAUAUCUAAGUAAAGUGAGUGAGUUGUUUUGAAGAGUAGCCACUGGAAUGUUGGAGGAGGAAAGUGCUUAAAGGUCAAAAGUAAAAGAUCCAUUUUACUUGCGACCUUUGACACCGGGUGUAUAAUACGAUCCCGAGUAGAAUAAACUGAAACAUUUUCUAAUAUGACGCGUGAAGGUUGGAGACGGGGAGGGAUAGAGAACAAAAAUAUUCAAAGAGGUCGGAGAUCACAGGGCAACGGAAAGCAACCUAUGGUUUGCUGCCGUUGUAAAAUGAAGUGUCAUUUAUAUCAAUCAGUUCAGUCGCUUCGCAGGACAAGCGAUUCAAAUGUUCCAAGAAGAAAGGCGAAACUCAAAGGGCAACGAUCGCAGGGCAAUCAACAGUUGCUGCUCUUUUCCUCUCUGAAAACGAAGUGCCGCUCGUAUUAAGGAUCACUCUCUUUGUUACCAACGUUUCGCUUGGUAUCUACUUACUCACUUCAUGCAUAUUGAUGAAAUAUAUAUCAAAACUUUUUUUUAACCCUUUUAGUUUACACCAAAAAAAAAAAAAAAAAAAGAGAGAGAUCUGCUUAACGAUAUCCAUUACGCGGUCACAAACGGAUCGAGUAAAGGUUAACAGAAGCCCGGAGCUAAACAUUUCGGAGGCCCCUUUUUCAUAGCGUAAAAUGACUAUUGUCCAGGAAAUCCCUUAAUUAUUAACUCCAGCAUCCACGGGGCCCCUUGUGUCAUCACGUCGAUUACUCAUAGUUUUUCCUUCAAUUCCUUUGCUCGUUUGGAGAUGUAGAGGCAUACCAUCAGUUAAUACAGCAUUAUAGACUCUUAUAUACACGAAAUGACCCUUUUUGGCUGUAUAAUUUGGCGAAAAAAUAAAAAAAUGAAUCAUUAUAAGGCGCCUAUCAAUCUAUAAUUCAUUUCGCAGUUUUAUAACGCGAUAUAAUUUGGGAUGUAUUGCUUGUUUGAAAUUUGCUUGUUUGGAGAUGUAGAGGCGUACCACCAGUUAAUACAGCAUUACAGACUCUUAUAUAUACAAAGUGACCCUUUUUGGCUGUAUAAUUUAGCAAAAAAAUAAAAAAUGAAUCAAUUUCGCAGUUUUAUAACGCGAUAUAAUUUGGGAUGUGUUGCUUGUUUGGAGA
rnacentral:lncRNA from 1 species